AAUUUAGACCCCAUUAUCAACUGCAUCAGUUCCGGAAGUCGUCUGCUGCGUCUUACCAGAGUCACGUGAUAUCGACGGUGGCACUAUUUUGGGUCAGAAAACGCCGAGGAGUCUUCACGUGAACUUCGAGGCAGCAACACGGCUAUCGGCACCGGUGUGAGCGACAGACAAGCUUGAUGAUGCGACCGUGGUUGUUAGCCCUGUUCCUCAUGAUUGUAGGAGGGGCCUACUUGGUGCGCGCGCAGGGUGAGGUUCAGCCGGAACCCGCCACCUCCACCGCCGAACCGGAACCAGUCUUCAAUGCCACCGAACCAGAACCGGAAUCGACGGCUGAGACGGUUGCCGAGACAACGCCCAGCUCCACCGCGCAUGCGUGUUUACACAUGCUCAGCUACGUCGUGGUCUUCGUUGUCAUGGUGAUGGCACAGUAAACCAUUUCAGCAGCUACGUCAUCGCUUCAAAUGUGAAACAUAUCGCAACAAUGUCCUUGCUCAUCGAGGAGAGUCGACAAUUUCGGAACAGUAAUGACGUCAUAGGAAGACAUCCCGAAAUGUCAGAGACGUCACUUGACCUGAUCCGGCCUUGAACUCUGACCUCCAAGGAAUAUCAUUCAUCUUGUACGACCAUCAUCACGCCCAUUGAGCCAUUCCUUGUCAUCACGAUAUAUCCUGUCAUGUUGAUGUUUGAGUAUUUGAUCGCACACGUGCCUUUACUUCACGACAUCGACAGGCGAUAGAUAUAGGUACCAGUGUCAUUCCGCCAUUGUAAAUGUGUACUCGAUUGUGUCUUGUGUUUAACUUAUUGUCCAAGCUAUGUGUUUCUGAUUGGUUCGUUGACGUGUUGUCGGUGUCACGUGUUCUUUGUAGUAGAAGAUCCCAUCAACCAGGCCCACGCGGGAAGCCUAUGUGUUCAAAUGUAAAAAAAUAUAUAUACAUCUUUUAGAUACCUAAUAAAGUCAGCUCUUGUGAACUCG